rnacentral:rRNA from 1 species
AUACGGAGGAUCCGAGCGUUAUCCGGAUUUAUUGGGUUUAAAGGGAGCGUAGGUGGACAGUUAAGUCAGUUGUGAAAGUUUGCGGCUCAACCGUAAAAUUGCAGUUGAUACUGGCUGUCUUGAGUACAGUAGAGGUGGGCGGUAUUCGUGGUGUAGCGGUGAAAUGCUUAGAUAUCACGAAGAACUCCGAUUGCGAAGGCAGCUCACUGGACUGCAACUGACACUGAUGCUCGAAAGUGUGGGUAUCAAACAGGAUUAGAUACCCUGGUAGUCCACCCAGUAAACGAUGAAUACUCGCUGUUUGCGGUAUACAGUAAGCGGCCAAGCGAAAGCAUUAAGUAUUCCACCUGGGGAGUACGCCGGCAACGGUGAAACUCAAAUGAAUUGACGGGG